CUACGGGUCGCAGCAGUGAGGAAUUUUGCGCAAUGGGGGAAACCCUGACGCAGCAACGCCGCGUGAGCGAAGAAGGCCUUCGGGUCGUAAAGCUCUGUCAAGUGGGAAAAAAAUUCUUUGAUGAACAGUCAAAGGACUUGAUGGUACCACUGGAGGAAGCACCGGCAAACUCCGUGCCAGCAGCCGCGGUAAUACGGAGGGUGCAAGCGUUGUUCGGAAUUACUGGGCGUAAAGAGCGUGUAGGCGGUUUGACAAGUCAGAUGUGAAAGCCCCGGGCUCAACCCGGGAAGUGCAUUUGAAACUGUUUCACUAGAGUAUGGGAGAGGAGAUUGGAAUUCCUGGUGUAGAGGUGAAAUUCGUAGAUAUCAGGAGGGACACCCGUGGCGAAGGCGAUUCUCUGGACCAAUACUGACGCUGAGACGCGAAAGCGUGGGGAGCAAACAGGAUUAGAUACCCGGGUAGUC
rnacentral:rRNA from 1 species